UCUGAUUGAGCACUCAUUGAACCAUCUGGUGUAAUAGCAAAUUUUAUGGUCAGCUUUGGACAUUGAUGGACCUUCAACAUCUCCAAACGAGGGAAUAAGAAAUAAUCACACCAUCCGAAACUAAAACAGGCAAUACUUGAUAAUUGUUCUAGCGACAACUCCUUUAGAUUAGGAAGCACUAUCUCCUUCUCAACGUUCACAGGUGAAGCUUGAUCAUCCUUGAUAGAAUUAAUCUUGUUGUUUUAUUUCAGUUUGUUUUGUUUUAAUUCCAGCAGAGUUUAAGAGUAGACGUAACCGUUCAUAUAGAAGUUAUGAUUUAGAGGUUAUUUAGUGGACGUAACUUUUCAUAUAGCAGUUAUGAUUUCAAGGUUAUUUAGAGGACGUAACCUUUCGUAUUUGCUUCUAUAUAUAAUAAGAAAAUCAGAAAAUGAUGUAGAAAGUUAAGCAUCACAAAAAGGCUUCUGUUCUUUGAUUAUUUUGUCUCUGAAUUUGUGUGAGUUUCCCAAAUUGUGUGACUGGCCGUAAGAAAGAAUAACCAUCAUUUGGUAUCAGAGCCAAGGUUGUCAAAGCAAUGGCCGGUGUUGAAGGAGAUCAAUCUCAGACGCUUGCAGUCGUCAAUGCAAAUUGGCGAAGAGGAGCCUCAAUCCCGAUCCAUUAUCCAAUGUUAAGCGAAACGAACUAUGGCAUAUGGGCUGUCAAGAUGAAGAUAAUCUUGCGUUCGCUAGGAGUAUGGUCAGUGAUCGAAGGUGCAGACACAGACGACGACAAAGAUCAAGGCGCCAUGGUAGCCAUCUCUCAAGCCGUGCCAGAUGACGUGAUGAUGGCAAUCGCGGAGAAGCAGACGGCAAAGGAGGCUUGGGACGCACUCAGGGAGAUGCGAAUUGGCGAAUAUCGUGUCAAGAAGGCACGUGUACAAGUACUGAAACGACAAUUGUACAAGGUGCAUAUGCAAGAUUCAGAAACCGUAAAUGACUAUUCGAUGAAGUUGACUGCCUUGGUUGGUGAGAUCCGAUCACUUGGCGCGAAACUUGAAGAAAGCGAAGUUGUUGAAAAGCUGUUCAGUUCGGUUCCAGAUCGAUUUCUUCAAAUCAUUGGGACAAUUGAGCAGUUUGGAGAUGUAGACACGAUGUCGGUUUCAGAAGCUAUUGGGCGUUUAAGAACAUUUGAAGAGGGAUUGAAGGGGCGAUCUCAUACAGAGAGUACAGGAGAGCAGUUGCUAUUCACCCAAACCGAAAGGGAAGCAAGAACCCCAAAGGCAAAGAAAUAUGAAAGUUUCAGCAACAACAAAAGAGGAGGACGUCACUGGAGAGGACAUGGUAGUGGGCGUGGAUAUGGUGGAGGUCGAGGAAAUGGUGAACGCACUAACGAAGACCGAAAGCCACGAAACUUCGACAAAUCCAAGGUUAAGUGUUUCAAUUGUAAUGAAUUUGGACACUUCGCAAAAGAUUGUUCCAAGCCAAACCGAAGAGAGAGGGCUAAUUUUGUUACAACACAAACCGAUGAUGAACCGGCACUACUGAUGGCCGAAACUUGUGUUAUCAGCCACUCAAUACAGAACGAGCAUGUGUUACUGCACGAAGACAAGGUGGUGCCAAAGAUUAAAGGCACUCGAGAGAAGGCUUGGUAUUUAGAUACCGGAGCAAGUAACCACAUGACCGGAUGUAUUGAAAAAUUUGCUGCAAUUGACACGACUAUUACAGGGUCAGUCAAAUUUGGGGAUGGCUCGACUGUAAAAAUCCAAGGAAGAGGUUCGGUUUUGCUUGAAGACUUCACAGGUGAACAUCGAAUACUUACUAAUGUCUACUACAUCCCAAUGUUGAAGAGCAACAUAAUAAGCCUUGGCCAGUUGGAUGAAAACGGAUGCAAGGUUGUGAUUGAAGGAGGUGUUAUGACUAUUUUGGACAGAUUACAAAGGCUAUUAGCAAAAGUGAAGAGGUCAAGCAACCGGUUAUAUAUGCUUAACAUAGCACCAGCUCUACCCGAAUGCUUUCUGGUAAGGAGCAAAGAAGAAGCAUGGCGAUGGCAUGCAAGAUACGGGCAUGUAAAUUUUCAUGCUUUGAAGUCUCAAAGUCAGAAACAGAUGGUGCACGGCUUGCCCAUAAUCGAGCAUGAAGAUCGCAUUUGUGAUGGAUGUUUGAUUGGAAAACAACAACGAAAACCAUUCCCUGCUGAAUCAAAUUUCAGAGCCGAGUACCCUCUUGAGUUGUGGCAUAUAGAUUUGUGCGGGCCAAUCACACUGACUACGAAUGGGGGAAAGCGUUAUUUUAUGCUAAUUGUCGAUGAUUGCACAAGGUUUAUGUGGCAGGUUCUGAUCUCAAGCAAAGCCGAGGCGUUCGAAAGUUUUAAAAGGAUCAAAGUUGCAGCCGAAAUGGAGAAGGGGUGUAAGUUGAAAGCUUUUCAAAGUGAUCGUGGUGGUGAAUUCACAUCAAAUGAGUUCAAGGGCUUUUGCGAAUUAAAUGGUAUUAAACACUACCUUACUGCACCUUAUUCUCCGCAGCAAAAUGGUGUCGUGGAACGGAGAAAUCAGACAGUGGUUGGCAUGGCAAGAAGUUUGCUGAAAAGUAAAAGUGUUCCCGGCGAAUUUUGUGGAGAAGCGGUGUCAACGGCAAUUUACUUGCUGAACAGAGCACCAACUAAGAGUCUAGUUGACAAGACACCCUAUGAAGCCUACUACAAUCGAAAGCCAAGAGUUGAACACAUGGCAGCAGUAAAGCACAUACUGAGGUACGUGAAGGGAACAUUGAACUUUGGUUUUGUGUAUGAGAAGAAAGAAGGAGAUUUGGAGCUGAUCGGGUUUUCGGACAGUGAUCUGGCUGGUGAUAAUAAUGACAGAAAAAGCACUUCAGGAUUGAUAUUCUUUCUUGGGGCAAAUCCGAUCAGCUGGUGUUCACAAAAGCAGAAAGUGGUGGCGCUGUCUUCAUGCGAAGCAGAAUAUAUUGCUGGUUGUGCGGCAGCGUGUCAAGGUGUGUGGCUGAGUCGAUUGUUAGGAGAAUUGCUAAAGGCUGAACCUAAGAAAGUGGUGCUAAAAAUGGAUAAUCAAUCCGCAAUUGCUCUAACCAAGAACUCAGUUCAUCAUGAGAGGAGUAAACAUAUUGACACUCGGUUUCAUUACAUAAGAGAUUGUGUGAAAUCGGGAUUGGUUGAAGUUCAGCAUGUUCGUACCGAGGACCAGCUUGCUGAUAUCUUAACGAAGUCACUGGGAAGGAUAAAGUUUCAGGAGAUGAGAGGAAAGAUUGGUGUACUGGACAUCAAUAAAGAACAACAAGCUUAAGGAGGAGAAUGAUAUAAUUAAUCUUGUUGUUUUAUUUCAGUUUGUUUUGUUUUAAUUCCAGCAGAGUUUAAGAGUAGACUUAAGAGUAGACGUAACCGUUCAUAUAGAAGUUAUGAUUUAGAGGUUAUUUAGUGGACGUAACUUUUCAUAUAGCAGUUAUGAUUUCAAGGUUAUUUAGAGGACGUAACCUUUCGUAUUUGCUUCUAUAUAUAAUAAGAAAAUCAGAAAAUGAUGUAGAAAGUUGAGCAUCACAAAAAAGCUUCUGUUCUUUGAUUAUUUUGUCUCUGAAUUUGUGUGAGUUUCCCAAAUUGUGUGACUGGCCGUAAGAAAGAAUAACCAUCAAUCCUGCCCAAAUACUCCAAAUAAUUGAGAGGAUUUUGUUACUCUAACUAUUUGGAGUUUUGGGAGACCUGAAGCCAUGACUGCUGGGAAGAGACUUUUCAACUUGUUACAUUCUCUAAUCUCAAUUUCACACAAAUCGGGAAACCAUAAAGAUUGGAGAUGAUCUCCUAACAAUAUUUGGUCGUUUUCAUCAUCAUCCUUAGCAAUGAUUUUUAAUUCUGGAAAGCAAGGAGACUCUAGAAUUAUUUCCUUUUCACCAUCCUCUUCUCUGAUAAUAUACUUCAAUUCACCGCAAUCUCUUAUCUCAAGUCUUUCUAGCUUUGGCAGACUUUGAGCGAGGGACGGUGUAAAGAUAAAUGUCAGUUUGUCGAGAUAAUCCAACUUCAGAUGAGCAAGACUUUGGAGGCUGACAUUCCUGGUGGGCCCCUUCCAUAUACAUUUGAGCUCAGGUAACCUUUGCAGCUGUAACUCUGUUAAAGAUGACAGCAGCUCCUUCUCCUCACUGCGACCUUCAUCAGGCAGCUCACCUAAUUCAAAAACAUAUUCGCAGCACCAUUCUUGAAAUCAUGUAACAGCUAACCAACCUUGCCUGAUGCAAACAUGAAGAAAAAAGACGAUCCAUGAUUUAAUUCAACCAUUAAAAUUUGAGGGUAAAGGAGAGGAUAAAUAAUUGCAGCUAUAUCACCUGGUUUGGGCAAGAAAGAAUUAUUAGACUAGCAAUCAUCAUCAUCAUCAUCAUCAUCAUCAUCAUCUUCUUCUUCUACUACUACUACUUCUUUCCACACGUUAUUUCUGGUCCACUCUCUAUUAAUGCUUGAAUCUUCAGCUACUUCGGAUACCUGUAAACCAAUUCAAGCAUGGCAUGCUCAUUUUAACUUGUAAAUCAUAUUAUUGAGCGAAACAAGAGACAAACACACUAAAAGAGAGGCAAGAAAUCAAGUCAAAUCAGCAGCACCUCUGAUUGAGCACUCAUUGAACCAUCUGGUGUAGUAGCAAAUUCUGUGGUCAGCUUUGGACAUUGAUGGACCUUCAACUUCUUCAAACGAGGGAAUAAGAAAUCACAGCAUCCGAAACUAAAACAGACAAUACUUGAUAAUUGUUCUAACGACAACUCCUUUAGAUUAGGAAGCACCAUCUCCUUCUCAACGUUGACAGGUGAAGCUUGAUCAUCCUGCCCAAAUACUCCCAAAAAUUGAGAGGCUUCACUUACUCUCAGUGUUUGCAGCUUUGGGAGACCUGAAGCCAUGGCUACUGGGAAGAGGCUCUUCAACUUGUUGCAUUUUCUAAUAUCAAUUUCACACAAAUUGGGAAACCAUAGAGAUUGGAGAUGAUCUCCUAACAAUAUCUGGUCGUUUUCAUCAUCAUCCUUAGCAAUGAUUUUUAAUUCUGGGAAGCAAGGAGACUCUGGAAUUAUUUCCCUUUCACUAUCCUCUUCUCUGAUAAUAUGCUUCAAUUCACCGCAAUUUC
rnacentral:lncRNA from 1 species